UACAGAGGUCUCAAGCGUUUGUUCGGAUUCAUUGGGCGUAAAGGUGCGUAGGUGGCGGGGUUAGUCAGGUGUGAAAUCUCGGGGCUCAACCCCGAAACUGCACUUGAUACUGCCUUGCUAGAGUACUGGAGAGGAGAUUGGAAUUUACGGUGUAGCAGUGAAAUGCGUAGAUAUCGUAAGGAAGACCAGUGGCGAAGGCGAAUCUCUGGACAGUUACUGACAACUG
rnacentral:rRNA from 1 species